UUUGGUUUAGAUUUGUUUAGAAAUUGAUUAAGAUUUGAUUUAAAAUUUAUGAUUUAAUUAGGAUUUGAUUUAAGAUUAAGGAUUUGAUUAGAAUUUAUUUUAGGAUUUAAAAUCUGAUUAAUAUUGGUUUAGGAUUUCGAAUUUUUUAAAUUUUUGUAAAGAUUUCUUUAAGAUUUUGGUAGAUUUCUUUUAGAUUUCUUUAAGGAUUCUUUUGGAUUUUUGUAAGAUUUUUUUAGGAUUUCUUUUGGAUCUUUUUACAAUUUCUUUAGGAUUUUGUAAAGAUUUUUUUAAGGUUCUUGUGGAUUUCUUUUAGGUUUAUUUAGGAUUUUUUUUAUAUUUCUUUUGAAUAUCUUUAA
rnacentral:lncRNA from 1 species